rnacentral:rRNA from 1 species
AACGAACGCUGGCGGCAGGCUUAACACAUGCAAGUCGAACGCAUCGCAAGAUGAGUGGCAGACGGGUGAGUAACGCGUGGGAACAUACCCUUUUCUACGGAAUAGCUCUGGGAAACUGGAAUUAAUACCGUAUACGCCCUACGGGGGAAAGAUUUAUCGGGGAAGGAUUGGACCGCGUUGGAUUAGCUAGUUGGUGGGGUAAAGGCCUACCAAGGCGAUGAUCGAUAGCUGGUCUGAGAGGAUGAUCAGCCACAUUGGGACUGAGACACGGCCCAAACUCCUACGGGAGGCAGCAGUGGGGAAUAUUGGACAAUGGGCGCAAGCCUGAUCCAGCCAUGCCGCGUGAGUGAUGAAGGCCUUAGGGUUGUAAAGCUCUUUCACCGAUGAAGAUAAUGACGGUAGUCGGAGAAGAAGCCCCGGCUAACUUCGUGCCAGCCGCCGCGGUAACAC